AAUGAACGUUGGCGGCGUGGAUUAGGCAUGCAAGUCGCGCGAGACCUUGCAGAUGGAAGCUUCGGCCGAAGUCUGCAAGUGAAAGCGGCGAAAGGGAGAGUAACGCGUGGAUACCUACCCCCGGGUCUGGGAUAGCGUCGGGAAAACUGGCGGUAAUACCAGAAAUGUCUCCGGACCAUAGGUGUGAUUCCGUCUGGGGAUGGGUCCGCGUCCUAUUAGCUUGUUGGUGGGGUAACGGCCUACCAAGGCGAAGAUGGGUAGCGGGCGUGAGAGCGUGGCCCGUCUCACUGGGACUGAGACACUGCCCAGACACCUACGGGUGGCUGCAGUCGAGAAUCUUCGGCAAUGGGCGCAAGCCUGACCGAGCGACGCCGCGUGCGGGAUGAAGGCCUUCGGGUUGUAAACCGCUGUCAGGAGGAAGGAAAUGCAUAGGGGUACUCUCCUAUGUUUGACCGAUCUCCAAAGGAAGUGCGGGCUAAGUACGUGCCAGCAGCCGCGGUAAUACGUACCCCACGAACGUUAUUCGGAAUCACUGGGCUUAAAGGGUGCGUAGGCGGCUUGGAAGGUGGGGUGUGAAAUCCCUCGGCUCAACCGAGGAACUGCGCUCCAAACCGCCAGGCUUGAGGGAGGCAGAGGUGAGCGGAACUGAUGGUGGAGCGGUGAAAUGCGUUGAUAUCAUCAGGAACACCAGUGGCGAAGGCGGCUCACUGGGCCUCUUCUGACGCUGAGGCACGAAAGCUAGGGUAGCGAACGGGAUUAGAUACCCCGGUAGUCCUAGCUGUAAACGAUGAGCACUGGAUCGAGGGGGCCUCCACACCCUCUCGGUCGUAGCGAAAGUGUUAAGUGCUCCGCCUGGGGAGAUGGUCGCAAGGCU
rnacentral:rRNA from 1 species